GACGAACGCUGGCGGCGUGCUUAACACAUGCAAGUCGAACGGGGUGUUUAUUUCGGUAAACACCAAAUGGCGAACGGGUGAGUAACGCGUAAGCAAUCUACCUUCAAGAUGGGGACAACACUUCGAAAGGGGUGCUAAUACCGAAUGAAUGUAAGAGUAUCGCAUGAGACACUUACUAAAGGAGGCCUCUGAAAAUGCUUCCGCUUGAAGAUGAGCUUGCGUCUGAUUAGCUAGUUGGUGAGGGUAAAGGCCCACCAAGGCGACGAUCAGUAGCCGGUCUGAGAGGAUGAACGGCCACAUUGGGACUGAGACACGGCCCAGACUCCUACGGGAGCAGCAGUGGGGAAUC
rnacentral:rRNA from 1 species